GGGGUAAACGAGGGUCGCCCUUGGGUAGGGGCCCCGUUGGGGAACCGAGUCUUAACUGGGCGAAGAGUUGCGGGGUAUAGACCCGAAACCCGGUGAUCUAGCCAUGGGCAGGUUGAAGGUUGGGUAACACUAGGGGGAGGACCGAACCGACUAAUGUUGAAAAAUUAGCGGAUGACUUGUGGCUGGGGGUGAAAGGGGGAUCAAACCGGGAGAUAGCUGGUUCUCCCCGAAAUCUAUUUAGGUAGAGCCUUGAGGUGACACCUUUGGGGGUAGAGCACUGUUUCGGCUAGGGGGCCAUCCCGGCGGGCCAACCCGAUGCAAACUACUAAUACCAAAGAAUGAUACUCAGGAGACACACGGCGGGUGCUAACGGCCGGCGUGGGAGGGGAAACAACCCAGACCGCCACGCGCCCGCCCCCAAGUCUUUAUUAAAUGGAAGGACGAAUGGGUGGGGUUAGGACAUUGGGUAUGUGGGCUUAGAAGACACUCAUCUAUUAAGCACAGCGUAGUAAGAGCGCGGGUGAGAGCCGACGGGUCUCUCAAGAUACUACGGGGCUCGGAUAGAGGAGCGAAGCUGGGGCGAGAAAGGGAAUGAGUAAGACAGCUAACGAAUAACAAACCAGACUAGCCACAACGGGAAGGGUGGCGUGUUCUACCAGGUUGAAACGACGAGUAU
rnacentral:ncRNA from 1 species